rnacentral:rRNA from 1 species
CAGUCGCCGCGGUAAUACGGAGGGUGCAAGCGUUAAUUGGAAUUACUGGGCGUAAAGCGCACGCAGGCGGUCUGACAAGUCAGAUGUGAAAUCCCCGGGCUUAACCUGGGAACUGCAUUUGAAACUGUCAGGCUGGAGUCUUGUAGAGGGGGGUGGAAUUCCAGGUGUAGCGGUGAAAUGCGUAGAGAUCUGGAGGAAUACCGGUGGCGAAGGCGGCCCCCUGGACAAAGACUGACGCUCAGGUGCGAAAGCGUGGGGAGCAAACAGGAUUAGAUACCCGUGUAGUCCCUGUCUCUUAUAC